UCGCUUCGGCAGCACACAUACUAAAACAGGAACAAUACAGAGAAGAUUAUCAUGUCCCCUGUGCAAGGAUGACACCCAAAUUCAUGAAACUUUCGUAUUUUAA
ensembl:snRNA U6 U6 spliceosomal RNA